rnacentral:tRNA from 1 species
GCCUGGAUAACUCAGUUGGUUAGAGCAUGGUGCUGAUAAUGCCAAGGUUGCAGGUUCGAUCCUUGUAUGGGACA